CCAAUAGCGUAUAUUAAAGUUGUUGCAGUUAAAAAGCUCGUAGUUGAAUUUCGGGGUUAGUAGGUUGGUCAUGCCUCUGGUAUGUACUGGUCUCACUGAUUCCUCCUUCCUUAUGAACCGUAAUGCCAUUAAUUUGGUGUUGCGGGAAAUUUGGACUGUUACUUUGAAAAAAUUAGAGUGUUUAAAGCAAGCUAACGCUUGAAUACAUUAGCAUGGAAUAAUGAAAUAGGACGUUCGAUCUUAUUUUGUUGGUUUCUAGGAUUGACGUAAUGAUUAAUAGGGAUAGUUGGGGGCAUUAGUAUUAAAUUGUCAGAGGUGAAAUUCUUGGAUUUAUUGAAGACUAACUACUGCGAAAGCAUUUGCCAAGGAUGUUUUCAUUAAUCAAGAACGAAAGUUAGGGGAUCGAAGACGAUCAGAUACCGUCGUAGUCUUAACCAUAAACUAUGCCGACUAGGGAUCGGAUGAUGUUAAUUUUUUAAUGACUCAUUCGGCGCCUUACG
rnacentral:misc_RNA from 1 species